UACGGGGGGGCCAAGCGUUGUUCGGAAUUACUGAGCGUAAAGGGCUCGUAGGCGGCCAACUAAGUCAUACGUGAAAUCCCUCGGCUUAACCGGGGAACUGCGUCUGAUACUGGAUGGCUUGAGUUCGGGAGAGGGAUGCGGAAUUCCAGGUGUAGCGGUGAAAUGCGUAGAUAUCUGGAGGAACACCGGUGGCGAAGGCGGCAUCCUGGGGUAGAUACUGACGCUGAGGUGCGAAAGCGUGGGGAGCAAACAGG
rnacentral:rRNA from 1 species